rnacentral:lncRNA from 1 species
CAUGACCUACAAGAAUGAGAGAAAUUUUAGCAAACAUCCCAAGCAUCAGCUGUUUCAAAAUAUCUUUACAACUUUAGUUAAGGAGGGUUACCUGCAGCAGCACUUCAUGAUCUCAGUUUUGAACAACCGCUUGUGUGUUGGCUUUGAGGAGCAGUGCUCAGGGCGAGAAUCUGAACACUCUUCAGUUGGAAGUUUAUCUGGUGCAAAUGCAGCAGGGAGAAUCCAGGAUCUUCAUUUGUCAGAUGAACUGAGUCCUGAUGAGAUACAAGAAAGUAUUUUCUCACUUCAAGCAGCCUUGUCAGCGGUCUGCAGUAAUUCUGGAGCAGACAGAAUGUGUUUGACUCAAUGGCUCUACUGCACAGCCCAAAACCUAAGCUUAACCAUGGUCUAAGCUUAAUUCUACCUUCAUGAACAGCUGAAGAAAACAUCAGGAACUGCAGAAGGGACUCUGCGGAGCUGACACCUAUUCCUUUCAACUGUUCUAGAGAGGAGUCUCCAUCAGGGAGAUGGAGG